UACGAAGGGGGCUAGCGUUGCUCGGAAUCACUGGGCGUAAAGCGCACGUAGGCGGAUCUUUAAGUCAGGGGUGAAAUCCUGGAGCUCAACUCCAGAACUGCCUUUGAUACUGGGGAUCUCGAGUCCGGAAGAGGUGAGUGGAACUGCGAGUGUAGAGGUGAAAUUCGUAGAUAUCGGGAGGAACACCAGUGGCGAAGGCGGCGACCUGGGCCAAUAUUGACGCUGAGGUGCGAAAGCGUGGGGAGCAAACAGG
rnacentral:rRNA from 1 species